CGUUGUACGGAUGGGGGGUAAGGCACCGGUUUUUGAUACCGGCAUUCCCUGGUUCGAAUCCAGGUACCCCAGCCA
rnacentral:tRNA from 1 species